AUUUAAGUAACUUAAGAAGAGUGUGAUAUUGAAGAUGUCAAAGUGAUAUUUUAUCCUUAAAUA
rnacentral:tRNA from 1 species